rnacentral:lncRNA from 1 species
GGCUUUCCCUGCUUUAAAACUAGAUGAUGCUCUCUCUUUUCCCUCAGUGAUUCCUUGGUGGCAUUGGGGUCUUUCAGUGGUGAGGAAACAGGAAGAAUUCCCAGGAGACCUUGACAUGGGUAGGCCCAGAGGUAACCACAAGAUCUCCUGAGGACAGAAGGCACCGGCCGGGAAGUCUCAGUAGCCCCAACUACUCUAGAACCCACUGUGUGGACACUCC